GCGCACCAGUCGCGAAUUUUCUCAAUGGGGCAACCCUGAAGGAGCGACGCCGCGUGGAGGAUGAAGGCUUUCGGGUUGUAAACUCCUGUCAUUUGAGAACAAGUGUUAGCAAGUAACUACUGCUAGCUUGAUAGUAUCAGAAGAGGAAGGGACGGCUAACUCUGUGCCAGCAGCCGCGGUAAUACAGAGGUCCCAAGCGUUGUUCGGAUUCAUUGGGCGUAAAGGGUGCGUAGGUGGCGCGCUAAGUCAGGUGUGAAAUCUCGGGGCUUAACUCCGAAACUGCAUUUGAUACUGGCGUGCUUGAGGACUGGAGAGGAGACUGGAAUUCAUGGUGUAGCAGUGAAAUGCGUAGAGAUCAUGAGGAAGACCAGUGGCGAAGGCGGGUCUCUGGACAGUUCCUGACACUGAGGCACGAAGGCCAGGGGAGCAAACGGGAUUAGAUACCCCCGUAG
rnacentral:rRNA from 1 species